UGAUACGUAGGGUGCGAGCGUUGUCCGGAUUUAUUGGGCGUAAAGGGCUCGUAGGUGGUUGAUCGCGUCGGAAGUGUAAUCUUGGGGCUUAACCCUGAGCGUGCUUUCGAUACGGGUUGACUUGAGGAAGGUAGGGGAGAAUGGAAUUCCUGGUGGAGCGGUGGAAUGCGCAGAUAUCAGGAGGAACACCAGUGGCGAAGGCGGUUCUCUGGGCCUUUCCUGACGCUGAGGAGCGAAAGCGUGGGGAGCGAAC
rnacentral:rRNA from 1 species